UACAGAGGUCCCAAGCGUUGUUCGGAUUCACUGGGCGUAAAGGGCGCGUAGGUGGUGAGGCAAGUCGGAUGUGAAAUCUCCGAGCUCAACUCGGGAAUGGCAUUGGAAACUACCUUGCUCGAGGGUUGGAGGGGGGACUGGAAUGCUUGGUGUAGCAGUGAAAUGCGUAGAUAUCAAGCGGAACACCAGUGGCGAAGGCGAGUCCCUGGACAACUCCUGACACUGAGGCACGAAAGCUAGGGGAGCAAACAGG
rnacentral:rRNA from 1 species